rnacentral:rRNA from 1 species
CGAUUACGGCUCAGUAACACGUAGCUAAUCUACCCUUAGGUCAGGAUAAUCUCGGGAAACUGAGUCUAAUACCUGAUAAGGGUGAAGUGCUGGAAUGCACUCACCCUGAAACUCGUGCCUAAGGAUGAGGCUGCGGAUGAUUAGCUUGUUGGUGGGGUAACUGCCUACCAAGGCAAUGAUCAUUACGGGCUCUUAGCGGAGUUGCCCGGAGAAGGAAUCUGAGACACUAUUCCUAGCUCUACGGAGUGCAGCAGUGGCGAAUCAUUUACAAUGCACGAAAGUGUGAUAAUGCGAACCAAAGUGCCUAUCAUUUAGAUCGGCUUUUCUUCACUUUAAAACGGUGGAGGAAUAAGGACUGGGAAAGACCGGUGCCAGCCGCCGCGGUAAUACCGGCGGUUCAAGUCGCAUCCCUAUUUAUUGGGUCUAAAACAUCCGUAGCUUGCUCAUUAAGUCUCUUGUGAAAUCCCAUGUCUCAAGCAUGGGGCCUGCAGGAGAUACUGAUGAGCUAGAGAUCGGUAGACGUAAGGAGUACGCCGGAGGUAGCGGUAAAAUGUGUUAAUCUUCGGUGGACUAACGAUGACCGAAGGCACCUUAC